GAGAGUUUAGGGAAACUGUCAGGAGGACCCACUGGGUCCUGAAUUGGCUCCACACACCAAUCAGAAAGCUUCUCCAGGAGGCUGAUGAUGAAAAUAAGUAAGGACUUCAACAAGCUAAAACUUCCUACAGCUUGUUUGUCUGCUCUGACAUGUACACCCUGACCUGUGAAAGGCCUGUGUUGAAGCAUUCAUGGACUAUCCACGGCUUCUCAGGUUAGGAUUACCACUGGGGAAAGUCCACGUAACAGCACAAAGAAGUCUUUGCCAGACAGUCGGAGUUCAUGGCAGAGGGCAUACAGGGGCUCUGAGCGGCUGAUUCCAGAAAGCUUAGCUUUAUACGAUCACCGUUUAGGGGAAGAAGGACCGGAAAUACAUUUGGACCUGCUGAGAGCUGGCAGAAAAAAAUCUUAAGAAGAUAAGGCAUUUUUGUUAACACUGCCACCAAAUCCCAAGACUGCCUGUGGCAUUAUUGACAGUCCCUUCCAUACCUAUUCGACUUGCCCUAGUCUGCAAGCUAUUAUCACCCUUCCCACCCACCAGUUCCAAUGCCUCUGAUUUAUGACGAUGUUGUGGUGGGCAGCGUUUCAGAUCAGAGUUACCAUACGGCGUUAUAUUCUCUUCGGGUGUACAAUGUGGCGAGCCGACAAUUCCAUACAUCACUCAGUGCCCGUCAGGAUGAGCGGACUCUUAAUCCCCUUCAUGCGUUUCACCCAUCCCCCCCACCUCCGCUGCCCGCUGCUUUGAAACUUCUAUUUCCUUAAAAUAAAGCAAUUUUAUGUGAUA